GGGCCCGCACAAGCGGUGGAGUAUGUGGUUUAAUUCGAUGCAACGCGAAGAACCUUACCAGGGUUUGACAUCCUGCGAAUCUCUUGGAAACGAGAGAGUGCCUUCGGGAGCGCAGUGACAGGUGGUGCAUGGCUGUCGUCAGCUCGUGUCGUGAGAUGUUGGGUUAAGUCCCGCAACGAGCGCAACCCACGUCUUUAGUUGCCAGCAUUUAGUUGGGCACUCUAGAGAGACCGCCGGUGAUAAACCGGAGGAAGGUGUGGAUGACGUCAAGUCAUCAUGCCCCUUACAUCCUGGGCUACACACGUACUACAAUGCUACGGACAAAGAGCAGCAAGUUCGCGAGAGCUAGCAAAUCCCAUAAACCGUGGCUCAGUUCAGAUCGUAGGCUGCAACUCGCCUACGUGAAGGAGGAAUCGCUAGUAAUCGCAGGUC
rnacentral:rRNA from 1 species